rnacentral:lncRNA from 13 species
AAACAAAAUAUUGGAGUGAGAAGAAUAAAACCAGUCCACAGUUUCCUAUAGACAGCACAAAGCAAUAUUCUUUUCUAUUUCCUUCAGCUUAUCUCAGCUUGUAUAAGCCGAGUUCAUUAACUAAUAUCUGCAACACGAAUUUUUUUUACAGACCCUGAAAUACUAUAUAUCAGCAGCAUUUUCUAAUUAUAAAAGAGUAUCCAGAAGAAUAUUCAGAAGGAUUUUAAAAGACUGAAAAUGGCGGUAUUUAUAAGAGGAGGAGUAUAAACCAGUACUGCAGGCAUUUAGAGGCGGCAUGAAACAAAGUUUUAGCUUAUGGCUAAUGUUUUGGGAAUGGGAGAAGCACUUCGGUUGCCUCCAACUUGGGACAUGGCAAACAUUGAAGCCAGAAAUUGUCCCUUGAAUGUUACCUUGGAGAUUCGUGAAUUUCUCUGCAUUUAUCAGUUUAAUCAGUGUAGAUUGCUAUCUUGUUUUUCUUUGAAAUUGUCUAACUACUAAUCAAUUUGAGCAAAUCUUUCUAAAUUGGUUAGCUUCACGGGUUUUCCUUUCAUUAUUUGCCUUUUUCCUGUCUUUGCUGAAUUAAAUUUGUUUAGGUUUCCUAUAUUUGCUUAUGCUUCUAGGAAUCUCUUGUAUAUUCUAAAUAGU